CGGACUUAUUGAAUCUUUUAUUUGGAACUUCUAGAACGUAUGAACUCCAUUUAUUUUUGUGGGGUUCCCUGUGUCCGAAAACAUUCGUUUCUUCCAAAAAAAUAGAGCUGUUUGAGUAUUUCUUCCUCAAUCCAAAAACCGCUGCCACAUCAGCCAGAACCACUUUAACUGGCCUUAGGGGCCAAAACUAAACUGAAUUGAAAGUUGGGAUACUCAAACUAACAUUAUUAGAGUUAGGGUCAAAAGGCUAUGAUCGACAGUCCUCUACUUCUGCAUGCCCCUCACAAUCAGGCGGCCCUUAGUUAUAUCGCCUAAUGCUGGCUGUCUACUAACAAACUGCUGCCCAGUCCCCCUAUUCUUACUCUGACCAAUCCCCCUAUUCUUACUCUCCAGAUCCUAACUUGCAGUAGCAGCUCCCCUAACAGAUAACUAUGGCCCAGAAUUAGAUACUGGUGGCUGCUGGCGCCUUCUUGUUCCUAGUUUAUUGCUUUCCAAUGAAAGUGUUCACAACAUAAUUGUCGAAUAUUGCAAAAACUACAUUGUUAAUUUUGUUUUAGAAAAUUGCUGUUAUGCUGGCAUGUUUGUUUUAUUAACUACAUUGUUUACUUUGUUGCAGAAACUUGCUGUUGGUUUUUGUUCACAUAUUACUAUUGGCAGCCAAAGAGUUCUACAACCUGCA
rnacentral:lncRNA from 7 species